rnacentral:rRNA from 1 species
AACGAACGCUGGCGGCAUGCCUAACACAUGCAAGUCGAACGAGCCCUUCGGGUCUUUUGUCGUACGGGUUCGUAACGCGUCGGAACCUGCCCUUAGGGUCGACAUAACUCUCCGAAAGGGGUGCUAAUACCGGAUAAUGUCUUCGGACCAAAGAUUUAUCGACCUUGGAUGUUCCCGCGUUGGAUUAGCUAUUGGUUAGGGUAAAAGCCUCCCAAGGCGAGCAUCCAUAGCUGGUCUGAGAGGAUGGUCAGCCACACUGGGAGUGAGACGCGGCCGAGACUCCUACGGGAGGCAGCAGUGGGGAAUAUUGGACCGUGGGCGGAGGGAUGAUGCAGCAAUGCCGCGUGAGUGAUGAAGGCAUGAGAGUUGUAAUGCGCUUGUACCCAGGAUGAUAAUGACAGUACCGGGAGAAUAAGCUACGGCUAACUCCGUG